AAUGGUAUGAAAAAUUGUUGUAGUCUUUAGAUUUUCAUUUCAAUUUUUGUAUGUCUCGGUAUUGAAAUGGAGAAAACUAAAGGUAAAGGAGUAGUUAAGCAACGGCCGGACGCCAUAGCUAUGACAGAACUAAAGGAGCAUUUAAGAAAAUUUAAGGAACAGUGGCUCUUCAGCUUGGUUGCUUCAACCUGUGGACACAUGGCUAUUUUGGUCAAUAAAAAAACUAACAAUUGAUCAUCACUUAGUUAAUGGUCAACUAGCAGUUAACUAACGACAAUGACAUAUUUAUACCCCAUAUAAAUUUUAAGUGCCAAGUUUGGAACAAGAAAAUUUUAAGUAACGUUUGGACAUAUGGACAAAAUUUGAGUGACAAAAUAUGAACUUCUUUGAUAGCAUUAACAAUGAUGAAAAAUGAAAGAAAGAAUGGAAGUAAAAAAAAAAGCUAUAGUUCGAGUUUGCUCCACCACCGCAGGCUGCCUCAAUAGCUCCAGUCGAAAAGCCCGGCUAGUCAAUCCGCAGAAGAUCCCAACCGUCUCCCAUCUCCCUCGGAAGGACCGCGCGCCAGCUCGGGGUAUCCGAGGCGCACGCCACUACACUGUACACCCAGUUCACCGCCGGUCCCACCGCGCAGGCAGUCGAGUCCAUGGACCGGGUUCACACGGGUGCCUCUGUCCC
rnacentral:lncRNA from 1 species